ACGGUGAGUAACACGUAUCCAACCUGCCGUCUACUCUUGGACAGCCUUCUGAAAGGAAGAUAAUACAAGAUGGCAUCAUGAGUUCACAUGUUCACAUGAUUAAAGGUAUUCCGGUAGACGAUGGGGAUGCGUUCCAUUAGAUAGUAGGCGGGGUAACGGCCCACCUAGUCUUCGAUGGAUAGGGGUUCUGAGAGGAAGGUCCCCCACAUUGGAACUGAGACACGGUCCAA
rnacentral:rRNA from 1 species